rnacentral:rRNA from 1 species
UUCCGGUUGAUCCUGCCGGACCCCACUGCUAUCGGGAUAGGACUAAGACAUGCUAGUCGUGUGCCUCAGCCAAAACGAGGCACGGCGCACAGCUCAGUAACACGUGGCUAACCUGCCCUUAGGACGAGAAUAACCCCGGGAAACUGGGGCUAAUGCUCGAUAGGUGAAGAACUCUGGAAUGAGUCUUCACUUAAAAGAGUCUGCGUUAUGCUCGUAGAUUUCGCUUAAGGAUGGGGCCGCGACCGAUCAGGUUGUUGGUGAGGUAAUGGCUCACCAAGCCUUUUACCGGUGCGGGCCGUGAGAGCGGGAGCCCGGAGAUGGGCACUGAGACAAGGGCCCAGGCCCUACGGGGCGCAGCAGUCGCGAAAACUUUGCAAUACACGAAAGUGUGACAGGGCUAUCCCGAGUGCCAUCCGCUGAGGAAGGCUUUUACCCAGUCUAGAACGCUGGGGGAAUAAGGAGAGGGCAAGUCUGGUGUCAGCCGCCGCGGUAAUACCAGCUCUCCGAGUGGUGUGGAUGUUUAUUGGGCCUAAAGCAUCCGUAGCUGGCUAAGUUAGUCCCCUGUUAAAUCCAACGAAUUAAUCGUUGGAUCGCGGGGGAUACUGCUUGGCUAGGGGACGAGAGAGGCAGACGGUAUUUCUGGGGUAGGGGUGAAAUCCUAUAAUCCCGGGAAGACCACCAGUGGCGAAGGCUGUCUGCUAGAACGCGCCCGACGGUGAGGGAUGAGAGCUGGGGGAGCGAACCGGAUUAGAUACCCGGGUAGUCCCAGCUGUAAACGAUGCAGGCUAGGUGUUUGGACGGCCACGUGCCGUUCUAGUGCCGCAGGGAAGCUGUUAAGCCUGCCGCCUGGGGAGUACGAUCGCAAGAUUGAAACUUAAAGGAAUUGGCGGGGGAGCACCACAAGGGGUGAAGCUUGCGGUUUAAUUGGAUUCAACGCCGGG